UAACUCAGUCAGUAAAGUACUUGCCUGGCAAGCAAGAGGAUCUGAGUUCAAUCCUCAG
rnacentral:tRNA from 1 species